rnacentral:rRNA from 1 species
GACGAACGCUGGCGGCGUGCCUAAUACAUGCAAGUUGAGCGCUGAAGGUUGGUACUUGUACCAACUGGAUUAGCAGCGAACGGGUGAGUACCGCGUGGGUAAUCUGCCUUUGAGCGUGGGACAACAUUUGGAAACGAAUGCUAAUACCGCAUAAAAACUUUAAACACAAGUUUUAAGUUUGAAAGAUGCAAUUGCAUCACUCAAAGAUUAUCCCGCGUUGUAUUAGCUAGUUGGUGAGGUAAAGGCUCACCAAGGCGAUGAUACAUAGCCGACCUGAGAGGGUGAACGGCCAACUUGGGACUGGGAAACGGCCCAAACUCCUACGGGAGGCAGCAGUAGGGAAUCUUCGGCAAUGGACGAAAGUCUGACCGAGCAACGCCGCGUGAGUGCAGAAGGUUUUCGGAUCGUAAAACUCUGUUGGUAGAGAAGAACGUUGGUGAGAGUGGAAUGCUCAUAAAGUGACGGUAACUACCCAGAAAGGGACGGCUAACUACGUG